UCCCGAAGGACAAUAAAGUUUGGAAGUACAGUGUCCUGCUGGAACAAUGCAAUUAAAGCAAUUAAAUCAUUUCUGAAUCACCAGGCCUUUGCCUUUUGUCCUACCAAAUGUAAAGGACAGUUAUUAAAUACAGCAGCAACAUAACUGCCCAAAUGUAAGAAAAGCUCCAAACGGGAGGAGAUUUGAAGAUUUGGUGUAUCGAGCUUCUAUGGCUGCCGGCAGCACGAUGAAGCAGGGCUUGGCGCUGCUGCCUUGCCGUGCUGUGGCUGUUCUCCGCCCGUUCGCGUGGGUUUCCUCCGGGUGCUCCGGUUUCCUCCCACAGUCCGAAGACAUGCUGAUUAAACCUCAAGCCAGUUCAGGCCCCUGGAGGAUUCUGAAGGGAAAGAGAAAGAAGAUCUAGUAACAGGCCCUGUUUUCAAUUGCAUACGCUUGCAUAAGAAGAGCUCUUACUCUUUGCAGCUUCCAGACAUCUCUAACAGGCAGUGCUUGCUAGGACCCUGCUGCAGUCCGAGCAAUCUGUCUCAAUAUGGUCUAGUGGACCUGUGCUUGUUCAGGCAUGGACUAAUGCAGCACACAAUAACCAUGCUUGAGCAGAUAAUUAAUUGAAAGUAAAAAUAACCCUGAUACAGCUAUGAUUAAGGGAUAAAGCAAAAUAUCUCAAUUUACCUACGUCUUACCAAACUAAUCUGAAAAUGCCUAAGUAUCUAAGUAAUGAAGUAACCAUUUGUCCACAUAGAAGCUCAAUCCCUUAAGUACACUGAUACCUCCGAAGCAGAAGUUCAAGUCACUAAAUGCAGCUAAAUGUCUACAAUUUAAAUCAGAACAAAUAUAACUGAAUUUUGUGUGUUACACGAUGAGGCAAAAUGUCUCUGAGAUAUAAGUAAUUUUCAGAUCAUAGAAGAGAAACAACUGUUUUUCUUUAAAUAAUAAUUCACUCAGGUGUUUACCAAAGAAGCAACUGACUACACACCUCAUGAUGAGGGCUAUGGAACAUUCCAUAAUGUUAAACAGUAUCAGCAUUAAUGUGAUUAAUGUGUUACUGGUUCUAGAAUCAUUGAAAAUAAAAAUAAAAAUUGUUUAAUGUAAAAUUAAAAUAUCAAAAUACAGUGUAGGAACUAUGCUAAAACUAUGCUGUCAGUUGCAAUAAAUUUAAUUAUGCAUUACCUUUACCAAUAUUCAUUAAGGUACAUUUUAAGAUGUAGUCUAAAUAACUUCCUAUUUCAAAGGAGAAUCUGUACAGACUCACUAUGUACCCUUAGGUUUAAAAAUUCUGAGUACAAUAUCUGACAAUCGCCAGUUAUACCCACUCAGAAAACAAAAUGUUGGUGUCUGGAACACUUAUAUCCCAAAGCUACAAAGCCUUUCAAUAUCUAAUUUCACAGCUUUCUUAACAUGUAUCUCAUACAAUUUAUUACUGUCAUACUCACAAACAUUGUGUUGAGUACUGCUUCAUCUGUUCAAACUAGGCUAAAUAUUGAUUGAUAAAAGUGUAAUGCAUUUUAACCAUAGGCAAUGUCUGCAUACAACAAAAGUUUUCUUUUUAAAUCACCCAAUUAAAAAUAUCUUGGCCAUUUUUUUUUAUCACAUUCAGGUAUUGUUUGUGAAAGUGUAAAAAGAUGGCCAAAUUAAAAUGGUUGCAGAACAAAGAGGUUAAAUAGUGGUCUUUAACCACAGAAACUGUUUCUGAAGACAGUGGGAUUCCAAUUUAUUUGCACUUGGUGAAUAUAAACUGGAUUUUACCACUUAGAUUAUAGGAUAUCUAAUGGUGAGACAUGCUAGUAUCCUACUAUAUGAUUAAAUACAACCUGCUUUGCUAAACAAUGCCUUACUCUCGUUCUUUAUGACUUUGUUUAUCGAUUAAUGCAAUGGCUCCCUGUGUGCUGAGGGUUACAGUAAGUCUCCAUUUGGUAUGAUUUCUUGUUUUUCUCCUAUCCAAAAUAUAAUGCCAGAGAUGAAGUCAUUGUCAAAUGUUCUCCAUCAGCAUUAUUACAAAAAAUAUGCAGCCUAUGUCCAGGCCACCAGCCAUGAGGGAUAGG